GAGAAGGGAAACCAUGAUCAGAAUACACUGUAUAAAUAAAAAAGCGGGCUGGAGAGAGGGCUCAGUGGUUAGAGCACGGACUGCUCUUCCAGAGGUCCUGAGUUCAAUUCCCAGUAACCACAUGGUGGCUCACAGCCAUCUGUAAUGGGAUCUGAUGCCCUCUUCUGGUGUGUCUGAGGACAGCAAUGGUGUACUCACAUAUAAUAAAUAAAUAAAUAUAUCUUUUUUUUUUUAAGUUAAAACAUUUUAUUUGAGAAAAGAGGACACCCGAACCCUGCCAUUCUCACGGGAGAGUCAGCGGCAACGUCCAGAUCCGGUGGAAUUAACUCAUUUUGAGAAAAGAGGACACCCGAACACUGCCAUUCUCGAGGGAGAGGCGGCGACAACGUUCAGAUCCAGUGGAACCUGGACAUGAAAACGGACUGAGAUUAAAGGCUUGCACCUGGACUGGAGAGAUGGCUCAGCAGUUAAGAGCACUGACUGCUCUUCCAGAGGUCCUGAGUUCAAAUUCCAGCAACCACAUGGCUCACAACCAUUUAUAAUGGGAUCCGAUGCCUUCGUCUGGUGUGUCUGAAGACAGCGACAGUCUACUCACAUCUAUAAAAUAAAUAAAUCUUAAAAAG
rnacentral:lncRNA from 1 species